rnacentral:rRNA from 1 species
AACGAACGCUGGCGGCAGGCUUAACACAUGCAAGUCGAGCGCCCCGCAAGGGGAGCGGCAGACGGGUGAGUAACGCGUGGGAAUCUACCGUGCCCUACGGAAUAGCUCCGGGAAACUGGAAUUAAUACCGUAUACGCCCUAUGGGGGAAAGAUUUAUCGGGGUAUGAUGAGCCCGCGUUGGAUUAGCUAAUUGGUGGGGUAAAGGCCUACCAAGGCGACGAUCCAUAGCUGGUCUGAGAGGAUGAUCAGCCACAUUGGGACUGAGACACGGCCCAAACUCCUACGGGAGGCAGCAGUGGGGAAUAUUGGACAAUGGGCGCAAGCCUGAUCCAGCCAUGCCGCGUGAGUGAUGAAGGUCUUAGGAUUGUAAAGCUCUUUCACCGGUGAAGAUAAUGACGGUAACCGGAGAAGAAGCCCCGGCUAACUUCGUGCCAGCAGCCGCUGUAACAC